rnacentral:rRNA from 1 species
UACGGGGGGGGGCAAGCGUUGUUCGGAAUUACUGGGCGUAAAGGGCUCGUAGGCGGCCAACUAAGUCAGACGUGAAAUCCCUCGGCUUAACCGGGGAACUGCAUCUGAUACUGGAUGGCUUGAGUUCGGGAGGAGGGAUGCGGAAUUCCUGGUGUAGCGGUGGAAUGCGCAGAGUAUCAGGAGGAACACCGGUGGCGAAGGCGGGUCUCUGGGCAGUAACUGACGCUGAGGAGCGAAAGCGUGGGGAGCGAACAGG